rnacentral:lncRNA from 1 species
GCUAUGAAAAAGCUCGGUUGAAGUCAACCUGUAAUGGAAGUUCAAGAGAAAUUUGUUUACAGUAGAGGCUCGAAUGGAAUUUGCUUAUAGUAGAUAUCCAGAGUAGACCGCCCGUCGUAGGAGUUCGGAGUAGACCGCUCACUGUAGGAGUUCGAAGUAGACUGCUCGUAGAAACUUGGAUGGAGUCUGAUUACUGUAGAAAUCUCAUCAUCGAAGAAGCUCGGAUAUUGGCGGAGUCCAGAAGAAGUUCGGAGAAUAGUUGAUCACUGUAGAAGGUCGGCUGGUGGUGAGGCCCAGAGAGCUUUCGGAGCGGCCCGGUAGAUGAAUGCAAAAGUUCACUAUCGGAGAAGUCCGGACGGUCGAGGGGGUUUGGAGUGACGCCACACACAAGGUCGAAAGCUGGAAGAAUCCUGGA